UACGUAGGGGGCGAGCGUUGUCCGGAAUUACUGGGCGUAAAGGGUGCGUAGGCGGUUAUUUAAGUCAUAUGUGAAAUACCCGGGCUUAACCUGGGGGUUGCAUGUGAUACUGGGUAACUUGAGUGCAGGAGAGGAAAGCGGAAUUCCUAGUGUAGCGGUGAAAUGCGUAGAUAUUAGGAGGAACACCAGUGGCGAAGGCGGCUUUCUGGACUGUAACUGACGCUGAGGCACGAAAGCGUGGGGAGCAAAC
rnacentral:rRNA from 1 species